rnacentral:rRNA from 1 species
GAUGAACGCUGGCGGCGUGCCUAAUACAUGCCAGUCGAGCGAACAGACGAGGAGCUUGCUCCUCUGACGUUAGCGGCGGACGGGUGAGUAACACGUGGAUAACCUACCUAUAAGACUGGGAUAACUUCGGGAAACCGGAGCUAAUACCGGAUAAUAUAUUGAACCGCAUGGUUCAAUAGUGAAAGACGGUUUUGCUGUCACUUAUAGAUUGAUCCGCGCCGCAUUAGCUAGUUGGUAAGGUAACGGCUUACCAAGGCAACGAUGCGUAGCCGACCUGAGAGGGUGAUCGGCCACACUGGAACUGAGACACGGUCCAGACUCCUACGGGAGGAAGCAGUAGGGAAUCUUCCGCAAUGGGCGAAAGCCUGACGGAGCAACGCCGCGUGAGUGAUGAAGGUCUUCGGAUCGUAAAACUCUGUUAUUAGGGAAGAACAAAUGUGUAAGUAACUAUGCACGUCUUGACGGUACCUAAUCAGAAAGCCACGGCUAACUACGUG